ACUGUAGUUCAGAGCAUUUAAAAAUAAUGAUAUACACACGGAAGUUCGCAGACGUGUUCAGGCCGUGUACAGCACCAAACUAACAAAUCAUUCUUGUAAAUAUAUCUACCAAAUUUUGGAGCAAGAGUGUUGAAAUAUGUUAACAAUCGUUGGAAAGUUUGGGCAAGAUGGAAAGGAAACACUCGCGAUUAAUCAUCAUCGGUUCUCUCUGUAUACAGGACCAACAUUCUUAUUGUAAGCAACCAAAAUCUGGCCAACAGAUUCUUUCUUAUUUUUCUCCAUUCCUGAAAUGUGUCGUUUAACAAAGAGACUUGUUCACCAUAGAUCAAAAUGCAACGAUGAGUGACGGGGGAAAUGUGUGAACCGUGACCAGAAACAUUUAAAAAGAAAGUUUUUAAAAGAUGUGUCUGAUAACCUAUAUAUUUUUUGUGUAUGCUGCAUCUUAACUGCUCCCUAACUGUGCGAAACAAAGCCAGUUUUUCUAUUGCCAAAGGGCAUUUUGCUCAACCCUUCUGUGAUUCUUAUUAAGAAGUUGAAAAUUG
rnacentral:sRNA from 1 species